CUCAGGGACAAUAUGUGAAUUAAGGAAAUUGAGCGAAUAUACAAAACAACAUAGAAUGAAAAGAGAAAAACAUACAAGGUAUACAUGAAGAGGAGAAGGUUACUACAAAAAGACUUAGCAUACAAAAAGAUUUAGUAGACUUUCAAACACUGAAGAGUCCAACAUUAUAGAAUGAGAACUAUUUCUAGAAUGCAAAAAUC